GAAAAAGUAUGCAAGAACUGCUAACUCAUGCUUCCGCACUUAAUAAGUAGCGGCUUUUUCAA
rnacentral:tRNA from 1 species